CUGGCGCAGCAGUCAGAAGAUUACCGUAUAGAAUUUUAUUUUAUAUCUUUCGCCAGCCAAAAGCUCUUUCGUGUGACAAAUUAGUCGUUGAGGUUUAAUGGCGAGUACGCACGUUUCUAUUGAACUCAAUUCGGAAGCAUAGCGAAUGAGAAAGACUUAAUGCAGGAAGCCAGUAAUUGCAAAUUAUACGAAGAAGAUCGACGAAUGCCGACGUGCAUCGCCACAUGCUUGCGUUUAUAAAUAAGUGCCAAUGUCGGUAUCUCCGUCGGCGUUUAUUUUAUGUUGAAGCAUUUGUGAAUCCGUGUAAGUGCACCUCUAAGUACACAUUUUAUGUAAAAUUGAAGGGAGCACAAACAAACGAAUUGGAACCGAGCUCAACGUGCUAAUAUGAACGCUUUUAAUUACUAUGGGCGACCAUUAAGCCAAAUAUCCGUUUUUGAUGGAACAAAACGAUCGUGUAUGGUCAGUAUACAAGCAUCGCCACAUCGCGUUGGUUCUCGACCAACUCCCGGGUGUCGCCACACAUCCAUACGUUUACGCGUUAACGAGCAUUUAGUCGAAAGUUGGAAACAUGUGCGCGUGAAAUUCCCCCUAACCAUCCAUUCGCUCUAUCCGUACACGCACCAAAAAGUAACAUCUCGCCGGGCACCUAUUUCGAGAGUGCGAGCUGUCAGAAGUGGAGUGCAUCAAAGUUAAUAGCUAAUGCGUUGUAGAUUCCUAAUUAUAA